rnacentral:misc_RNA from 1 species
GAACGCACAUUGCGCCCCUUGGUAUUCCAUGGGGCAUGCCUGUUCGAGCGUCAUUUGUACCCUCAAGCUUUGCUUGGUGUUGGGCGUUUGUCCCGCGUUGCGCGUGGACUCGCCUUAAAGCGAUUGGCAGCCGGCAUAUUGGCCUUGGAGCGCAGCACAUUUUGCGCUUCUAGUCAUGAAUGUUGGCAUCCAUUAAGCCUAUACAUUUGCUCUUGACCUCGGAUCAGGUAGGGAUACCCGCUGAACUUAAG